GACGAACGCUGGCGGCGUGCCUAAUACAUGCAAGUUGAGCGAUGAAGCUUGGUGCUUGCACCAAUUUGAAGAGCAGCGAACGGGUGAGUAACGCGUGGGGAAUCUGCCUUUGAGCGGGGGACAACAUUUGGAAACGAAUGCUAAUACCGCAUAACAACUUUAAACAUAAGUUUUAAGUUUGAAAGAUGCAAUUGCAUCACCCAAAGAUGAUCCCGCGUUGUAUUAGCUAGUUGGUGAGGUAAAGGCUCACCAAGGCGAUGAUACAUAGCCGACCUGAGAGGGUGAUCGGCCACAUUGGGACUGAGACACGGCCCAAACUACUACGGGAGGCAGCAGUAGGGAAUCUUCGGAAAUGGACGAAAGUCUGACCGAGCAACGCCGCGUGAGUGAAGAAGGUUUUCGGAUCGUAAAACUCGGUUGGUAGAGAAGAACGUUGGUGAGAGUGGAAAGCUCAUCAAGUGACGGUAACUACCCAGAAAGGGACGGCUAACUACGUG
rnacentral:rRNA from 1 species